rnacentral:rRNA from 1 species
AUUGAACGCUGGCGGCAGGCCUAACACAUGCAAGUCGAACGAGUGGCGGACGGGUGAGUAAUGUCUGGGAAACUGCCUGAUGGAGGGGGAUAACUACUGGAACCGGUAGCUACUACCGCAUACCAUCAGAUGUGCCCAGAUGGGAUUAGCUUGUUGGUGGGGUAACGGCUCACCAAGGCGACGAUCCCUAGCUGGUCUGAGAGGAGGACCGGCCACACUGGAACGGAGACACGGUCCAGACGCCGACGGGAGGCAGCAGUAGGGAAUAUUGCACAAUGGGCGAAAGCCUGAUGCAGCCAUGCCGCGUGUAUGAAGAAGGCCUUCGGGUUGUAAAGUACUGUCAGCGGGGAGGCGUUACCCGCAGAAGAAGCACCGGCUAACUCCGUGCCAGCAGCCGCGGUAAUUC